CCGUUUGAGAAUAGCUAAUAAUAUCUCCAAUAAAAGUUCAUAUGAUGACGUCAGGUGAGAUUUUCACUCAAGACAAAAAGUUAUCAAGAAGCCUGACUUGGAUGAGUUAAUUAGACACCUGCAGAAUAAGCGUGCCCGUGAACAGAAUUGGAAAAUUGCAGUAAUACAGUCGUGGGCUGUUGUGUUACGACAGUGAUGUGUGUUGCCGUAAAGCGUUUUUCCCGCGAUGUGGAGAGUUGGAGACUCAGCACAGUUCACGUGGUUCCACCUUGAGCCCUCCUUCCAUGUCCGUGCGUCCUUGGACAUAACAGGAAUGUCAUGUUGGGAGGGUGCUGGAGCCUAUCGCAGCUUCAUGUGGGAAGAAGGCGGGGUACACCCUGGACAAGUCUCCACCUCAUCGCAGGGCCAACACCGACAUACAGCCCCCAAUAUACUAAUUGCUUGUAUUUCGUCACGUGACUUCUUCUUACUAAAGUUGGAGAAGAUGUUCAGGAAAAAAGGCGGCAUUGCGGGACCCAAAAAGGGACCUUGUCGGAUUCACUAAAUCAGGCAUCCAGGGAGAUGGAGCGUAUUCUAGCUGACUUCAGGUCAAAGGCAGGGUCCACUCUGGACUGUUACCAGUCCUUCACAGGACACACAGACAGGAACAUAUUGAAACUAGACCAGACGUCAUCUGCUGCUUGAUAAAGUACCUUGGGGAGCCAACUACUGAAUGAAAGAACACUUACCAGGAUAUCAUCACUGAAUCGCUCCAAGAAGAAUAUUCUGCAUUCAGUGGCAGGACAUCAGCCAUUAGCCUUCACUCUGCUACUUGGAGACAUCACAAUAGAGUUGGUAUUUUCUUAUCCUUGUGUCAAAAUGGCAUUGGUGCCUUUCUGACAUCACAUGUGAGACUGUUCGCUGGCUGUGGUUAGAGACCAUCAAGUGUCCAUCUCCUUGUUUGAGUGGACACAGUAGGUAGACGUUCUCCACGCUGAGCUUCAUUAAGCUGGACAUGCACUUAACACUUACAUUUACUCCAUUCAUGAAUGUGUUAGUUUUUUUUCUGUACUACUUUGGAGGUUCGGAUAAAUUGAAAUAACAUCAUACGGCGGAAGAAAGACUCCAUAUUUAUAUGAUUGAGUGAUAUUUACUUCCACGGCUGCUGCUUAAUACGACGUCCAUGCUCAAGGUUGGAUGUACUUUUGAACUUAGAACAAAAGCAAGGGUGAUGUCAAAUUAGGGCUGCGAGAUUUACCGGUAUUUUAGAAAGCCAUAUGUAUUUGGGACAGUAUCGCUAUACCUUUUUUUAAUAAUAUUUUCAUGUUACGUUACAGCAUUAAAUUAGUAACUAAUACGCUGAAACACAACUAACAUUAACACGCUAACAAUUAACAAGUGUCACAUAAUCAAUUACCUUAUUU